rnacentral:rRNA from 1 species
GACGAACGCUGGCGGCGCGCCUAACACAUGCAAGUCGAACGAGCGAGAGAGAGCUUGCUUUCUCGAGCGAGUGGCGAACGGGUGAGUAACGCGUGAGGAACCUGCCUCAAAGAGGGGGACAACAGUUGGAAACGACUGCUAAUACCGCAUAAGCCCACGGGUCGGCAUCGACCAGAGGGAAAAGGAGCAAUCCGCUUUGAGAUGGCCUCGCGUCCGAUUAGCUAGUUGGUGAGGUAAUGGCCCACCAAGGCGACGAUCGGUAGCCGGACUGAGAGGUUGAACGGCCACAUUGGGACUGAGACACGGCCCAGACUCCUACGGGAGGCAGCAGUGGGGAAUAUUGCACAAUGGGGGAAACCCUGAUGCAGCGACGCCGCGUGGAGGAAGAAGGUCUUCGGAUUGUAAACUCCUGUUGUUGAGGAAGAUAAUGACGGUACUC